rfam:Ipomoea nil DNA, scaffold: scaffold2821, cultivar: Tokyo-kokei standard.
AUACCAUGGUGUGGGCAUUGUCUUCGUAAUUCCUUGAAUCUCUCACAUGACUCGGCUAAAGACUCACCAACUAUUUGUUUGAAAUUCUGAAUCGCACGCCUCAUUCU